rnacentral:lncRNA from 1 species
GCACGCCGGGAGACAAAAUGUCUCAAGAAGCCUUGAGAGGCGGGAUUUUGGAACCCGGGCGCUGACGAGCUUCCGCCAUUGGUGUGAUCGCGGACCUAGAAACUUGGUCCGUCCCAUACAGGUGUAGAAGUCGGAUUUGGAGAAUGCUGACGGGUGUCCGGUCAAGGUUAGGCCCCAGGUAGGUCCGCUUUCCGGACGUGGGCAGGGUAGCCCCGAGACUAACCUAUGGAGUGAACCUGGCCAGGGGACCCUACUUGUCAGAUAGGGAGCUCCGAGCCGACCUUUAGAUCUGACCUCAGCGUUUACAUGAUACUCAUGUAUUUCCUUAGAUCAAGUCAGCCUAGAUCAGGUGUUCUUCCAGAGGCCGUAUUGAGAUCAUUUUUAUUUGCAGCCUGUGCAUUUUCUCAUCUCGGGUGAUGGCCUCACAGAUGUACACAUAUGUAAAACCGUAUCAAACUGCACACUUUAAAUAUGUGCAACUUAUUGCAUGUCAGUUAUACUCAAAGCGGUUACCAAAAACAGAAAACAAGCUUUUCCUACCCCAGAGAAGAAUUUAAAGGGUAAAAUGAUCAAAGGAUUUCAGUUCUAUCAAUGUUUACCUGUCUGAUCACUUACGUAUCAGACACAAUGCUAAGCCUAGGACGAUUGUCUUAGCUCACGAAUAACACUUACUGUACAACUAUUUCUACUGGCAUAGGCUUUGGAACCAUAUAGGUCUGUGUUGUACUCUUGCUUCCAACACUUGUGAACGAUAUGGGUGAGUAAUUAAUGUCAUAAGGGCCUGAAUUUCCUUGUCCCUAAAGUGAACAUAAUACAACCUAAUUGAUGCUGUAAGAGUUCAACAAAUGGUACCCUUUUUACAUUAUAGUUUCAAAAGUAUAGCUACACAGUACUAUUUGUAAGCAAUGUUUCUAGAGAUUUACGACAUAUACCCAAAAAACAUGUCUUUAAUGAUGGCCUGGUAAACUCCUGCUGGUUGCCAGAAAAAGGGGUUCUGAGGCAAUCUAUGGGUACCUUUUUUCUUUAAAUUUGUGUCCUUUAUGAAACCAUGCAUAGUAUGGAAAUUACUGAAUUCAGAAUAUAGCAAGGUUAAAGAGGCUGAAAAAAACCUAGAACAUUUGAUAUAAAAAAAGGAAGCAUGCCUAAGAAACCUGGUUUAUUUAAAUGAGAUUUCGUUCUUAUAAAGCAAGUGAAUUUCUGUUUUACAAGUUAACCAUAUACUGUACCUCAUCUUUCAAAUGAGAAGUUAGCU